CACCAAGAAUCACCGGAACGAACGUUUUAAAAAAAAUUUAAACUUACCGGGCACAAGUCGUGGUAAUUUAACCGCCAGAUACCACUAUAGUCGGGCUACAUACUUACGACCCACAAUGCAUCGAGCUACGGCAUGUGCCUUUCUGUGUCGGCCAUUUUGUAGUUUCCUUGAGAAAUUGUGUUGAGUUGAUUCAUCUUCUUGGUAAGAAUUUUAUACAAUUCUACAACGGCGCGACUCACAUUGAUCCAAAUGAUGUAGAGGAUUGAGGGCAGAUGCUUAUGGCUAACUAUUCAUAGCUUGAGAACGAGGAAUAAGGUUGAGUUUUUUGCGCACAACCGUGUGCGCUCACGGUACUUACACCCGAAGAACGAGACAGUAAACGAAGCUGCGGAGAACACCUAUUGAUAAAGGCACAUGGAAUCCGGGAUUGUUUCGGGAUGAAUGGUGAUUUCGAUUAUCAUUCAGUUCAGUCAGUUCCUUCAGAAACGAUGGAUCGAGAUUCCACUAUAAUAUAUAUUGAUUGUCUGAGGUUUCAACAUAAAGGGUACGUGUACAUGAAUGGGGACAUUGGGAAGCUCCCACCAGGGGCGGUGUAUCCAGCCACCCCUGAACCAUUGGGUUCUGUUGGGGGUGCAAUUGGAAAUACUGCAUCCAAUUUGGAAUAUAACAUCAUGAACGGCGUUCCAAGUGGAAAUGAAUUGAUUUUGGAGGCGAGCGUUGGUAGUCUAGAGCCUUCGCCGCAGCAUGCUAUAGGUAUAGGAGGUGCUGCAGGUUAUGGUCCAGUGGAUGUUGCUGCUUUAGGUGAUGUGCCAAAUCAACCUGCACCAAUGGCUGAUUUAUCAACUCCUGGUAUACCUUUGGAACAACUUAAACAGAUGCUCUCUUCGCAACUUGAAUAUUAUUUCUCCAGAGAAAAUUUAGCUAACGAUACAUAUUUAUUAUCACAAAUGGAUAAUGAUCAAUAUGUACCAAUAUGGACAGUAGCAAAUUUUAAUCAAGUCAAAAAAUUAACGAAGGAUAUAAAACUUAUAACGGAGGUUUUGAGAGAAUCUCCGAAUGUGCAAGUUGAUGAAGAAGGGCAAAAAGUAAGACCUAAUCAUAAACGAUGCAUUGUGAUUCUUCGUGAAAUACCAGAUAAUACGCCACUAGAAGAUGUAAAGAAUUUAUUCUCUGGAGAAGGAUGUCCAAGGUUUAUUUCAUGUGAAUUUGCCCAUAAUAGUUCUUGGUAUGUAACAUUUGAAUCUGACGAAGAUGCUCAAAAGGCCUAUAGGUUUUUACGUGAAGAAGUUCGGGAAUUUCAGGGAAAGCCAAUAAUGGCAAGAAUUAAAGCUAAACCAAUGAAUAGGCUACCAAUACCAGCAGUUGCUGGUGUAAGUGGUAUUAAAAAUGGUUAUAGAACACCACCGCCUCCGCCUGUCUAUGAUCCAAAUAGUUAUACAGCUGGACAGCAACGGUUCCUUUAUACAAAUGGUACUACUAUGCCACAAACUACUAUGCCGCCAUAUGCCAAUCAGGUUCAUGUAUUUCAUCAGCCAUUUUAUCCUGCUGGAAUGAUGCCUUGGGGACCUGCAAGUCCUGCUUAUUUUGAUAUGUCAAGUGUUUUCACAAUGAACGGUAUUACACCACACAACACGUUUAAACCACACAAUACGAGAUACAAUCCACGUCACAGAAAUAAACAAAGAAAUGGACCCGAAAGACCAGGAUUGAUGGAUAGCGGAGGCAACAUGGUACCGAUGGGGCGUACCUCUCAUCCGCCUAUAAGCGGAGCACCAAUAUCUUUAGGAGCAACAGUUCCGACUUUUACUUCGAGCUUACCUACGGUGAAGCCAACUUCUUCUUCCUAUCAAACCGGCACAAAGUUCCAUUCCUCACAUACAACCGUAGCACCUGGAGAGGCCCAGUACAAUAGCAGCCACUCUAAAGGAUCCCAGGAAAAUGACGCUCAAACUCUGGAUUCUGGAGUUCAAUUUCCGCGUCAUCGUAUGCACCGUAGGAUCAAAGAUCAAGAGUCAUUGUCAAAGGCUAACAAUAGCCCUUUACCAUCAAUCAGAGAGUCUACCCCGGCCAGUAAUAAUAACACACAAUGUAACCGAGGGGCACAAUUCGAUUUGGAAGCUUCUGCUUUCCCUCCUCUUCCUGGCCUAGAUGCAGAUAUUGCAAAAUCCCAUAAUGCUUCGGUAGAGACUGUUGGUACCGAUUGUACGCAAUCGCAGAAUAGGCUUUCAGACGUAGUUAAAGGUACCGCAAAAUUGAAAAGCGUUAAAGAUAAAGAAUCUGCAGGAACAUCGCAACAAUAUCAUCAACAACCAACAAGUAACAGCAGUAGGUCUGCGAGUCCAGGAUCAAGUGCUGGUGGUCAUGCUGGUUCGUUAGAGGCUCCAACUGGUUCUGGCAGUACAUCAGCUACUCCCGUUGCAUCUACAAAUGUCAGCUCUAAUGCUUCUGUUAGCAACAAUGACUCCACAGACAUCGCUCUCAGCACCAUCACCCUCACUCCCCCGUCAUCUCCUGAUAAGUUUAGUCCUUUAUUAUUGAAAUGCACCGCUGACAGAUCUGUAAAGACUGACGAUUCAAACAUGGUGAAUGGAGUGGACGAGGCUGUUUCAAAUGCACACACAGCGGAAGAUUCUGAACAAGUAUCUAGGUGUGAAUGUAAUUCCUCUACUGCCUCACAAAAUUCCCAGUCACAAGCGGGAGUGACUUCUACUUUUCCUGUAGAUCUUCUGAAGCCGAGCUAUGCCCAAGUAGCACAGCACUGUCGUGAACUACCUUGUACAAAGCAUAAAACAGAUGAAAGGGAUGGAAAUGUGUAAAUCAAUAUAUACUACCACAAUGAAUUUCAAUAUUUAGCUGUUAUUCUUCAUCUGGAUUAUAUGGAUUAUGUACCACUGCUUUUAUCCUGCACUGGAUAUAGUGGGUAUGAAGAAAACUUUUUACAUUGUACAGUGACUUCGCCUACAAUGAAUGUGGUAUCAAUUAACUAUGAAUCAUAAAGAAUUGUUUGAAGAAACUCUAAUUCGCUGCAUAUUUAAAAAAAUAUGUUUGCUGGCAGGAUAAUACAUUGUGUAGAAGAGUAUUGUUAUUGCUUUGGUUCUGUGAUUUUGGAGCACAGGGCCGUAACUGGGAAAUGUUUAUCUUUGUGCCAAAACCUUGCUAUGCGCGUACAGCUUAAUGAAUGUUCAGAAUGCAACGAAAUUUAUUCUCAAACAGAAUUCUGAUUUAUUCAAUUGAAAAAGAGAAUGUAAUUUUUAAAGCAGAUAAAUGUUAAGAAUAUUUAUUAAAAGGAAAAAAAAAA
rnacentral:misc_RNA from 1 species